ACUCCUGUUCAAACGCAGCACAUUUUCAUUUGCUUUUUCACCGGUUUUCACUUCAGAAUCGUAAUUAUUGAAAACUGAGUGAAAAUGGAGGACAUUUUGGAUCACGAUGCACCAACAAUAUUCAUUUGAGCGUAUAGAUUCAGCUGCUUUUUCUUUACGUUAUUGAUUUCUUUUCCAGGUUGGAAUACUGGAUUACCGUCACCGCCUCAUAGCGUCUCUCCCGUCGGUCACGCAGGGUAAAGAGCGCAUGUGGAUAACUCCUACUUUUCUCUUCGCCCUGCCUCGUUCAGAAGAUUAUCUACGCAAAUGCGGCGCUGCAAUCCUCUUUCCCCCUCCACUCUGUUUUCAUCCCAGGUCUGGGUGGAGUAUUCUCACUGUGCUGCUGCUGUCAACAGGAAGUGAGGCGUCUUUAGCGUACAGGUGUCUGUUCCGGUCGAACAGGUGUUCCUGCUGCUGAGAGCGAUGAUGCGGGCCGCUGAAUGGUGUGACGUAAUGUCGUCAAAGGGUCAAAAAAAAAAAAAAAAAAAAAGAAAAAGGUGAAAGGAAAGCAGCAUCAGCCGACAGUUUCAAGUUCUUCAGCAUCGUUUAGGCUUUCCGGCCCACCUCAUCAUCCAACAACGAUCCCAUCAAUCUCUACUUCAGACACGCUGGCCGAUCAAAAGAUGCGUCGACCCCAUCGUGACGUAGAAGUUGGAUCAAUUGGCCAAAGCGUAUUUAAAACUAUGGCAUCUGUUGAGUGGGGGAAUGUGUAGGCGGAAGAAACAAAUAAUGAAAAAUGAAGAAGUUAAAGGAGAAGCACACUCUAAAUGUCUGCGGUGGAAUUUUGAGAGCAAGUCCUGAAUGAUGGCUCAUCAUCCUUCAUUCUGCAUGUCAUGCAGAAUUGCUUUUAGAUCCGUUCCUAUGGAAACUGUGAUGCUCUUUCGGCCUGGCAAAAAGGGAUGUUUCAUCACCUUUGCCUCCUCAGGUUUUGGCUCACCAUUAUGAAGUUUGGAUGCAGUGAGAGGCCCACAGGGGAGCGAGUUGCUUGGGCUUCACAGGACAAACCACACAGAAAUGGGGACUACAGAAGCUUCAUUUUAAGAAAAUUUUGGAAGUAAAGCUCUCACAGAAAAAGAAAACGAACAGGCAUUGGCUUGUAUGUGUGGAUUAAAGUAUGUCUGAGGAAAAACUGUUUUUUUAUCCAGCUGCUUGGCUAACACCACGAUAAAAACUAUAUUUAUGUCUAUAGCAAACGGUGUCCUUUACUGCAGUCACACAAUAUUACUUUGUAGCUGUAAUUGGUGGCUUCAUAUACUAUUACCUGUAUGAACACAGCUCCUAUAUAUAAAAAUUCCCUUCUCACCCUCUGUGGGUGGUCUCUCUCUCU